rnacentral:rRNA from 1 species
UUUAGGACUGGGGCCCCGCGUUGGAUUAGCUAGUUGGUGGGGUAAAGGCCUACCAAGGCGACGAUCCAUAGCUGGUCUGAGAGGAUGAUCAGCCACACUGGGACUGAGACACGGCCCAGACUCCUACGGGAGGCAGCAGUGGGGAAUAUUGGACAAUGGGCGAAAGCCUGAUCCAGCAAUGCCGCGUGAGUGAUGAAGGCCUUAGGGUUGUAAAGCUCUUUUACCCGAGAUGAUAAUGACAGUAUCGGGAGAAUAAGCUCCGGCUAACUCCGUG